rnacentral:rRNA from 1 species
AUGGUUGUCGCUGAGUUUGUGGAUGAACGGACAAAACUUCUACAGGCAGCAUCACUGAUAGCUCUUGUUCAGGCCUGGAUCCUGUUGGUCCAUAAGAGAGUUAUUCGUCGGAAUGAGAAACUUCUCAUUCGGUAUGGUCCGAUGUUAAUCCGGGAUCAGGAGAGGAUAACGAAUUUGAACUACAUCUACAACUACAAUGACACAUAGGCUAUGUGGAUACUUCGAAUGAAAAGAGCACCUUUCGUCAGGCUUGUGUAGACGUUCAGGAGUAGGGGGCUGCUAGAAGAUAGCAUCCACACCACUGUGGAAGAGCAAGUAGCCAUGUUCCUUCAUGUUGUUGGUCAUAACCAGAGGUUUAGAAUUGUACACAACACUUUCAAGAGAUCAAUGGAGACCAUCUCCAGGUACUUCAAGCAAGUGUUGUAUGCUGUUGAGAAGUUCAGAGGAGAGAUGAUCAGGUCAACAACUGGCCGGACUCCUACCAAGAUUCGCACUAGCCUAAGAUGGUAUCCAUACUUCAAGGUGAGCACUGACAAUAUGUAG